AUACGUAGGGGGCGAGCGUUGUCCGGAAUUAUUGGGCGUAAAGGGCGCGUAGGCGGGCAUAUAAGUCUGAUGUGAAAGUGCGGGGCUUAACCCCGUAAAGCAUUGGAAACUGUAUGUCUUGAGGACAGGAGAGGAAAGUGGAAUUCCACGUGUAGCGGUGAAAUGCGUAGAGAUGUGGAGGAACACCAGUGGCGAAGGCGACUUUCUGGACUGUAACUGACGCUGAGGCGCGAAAGCGUGGGGAGCAAACAGGAUUAGAUACCCUGGUAGUCCACGCCGUAAACGAUGAGUGCUAGGUGUAGAGGGUAUCGACCCCUUCUGUGCCGCAGUAAACACAAUAAGCACUCCGCCUGGGGAGUACGGCCGCAAGGUUGAA
rnacentral:rRNA from 1 species